CAACUGAAAGUUUGGAUGUUUUUAUGCAUCUUUCCCUAUUUCUCUUGCCUUUCAGGGUCAGCAGCUGCUUCCUACUCCCUGUUUCUAUGAGCUUAGCUUUUUAUUUUAUUAUUACUAUUUUUUAAUCACUAGUCCACAUACAAGUGAUACCAUGCAGUGUUUGUCUUUAUCUGGCUUAUUUCACUUAGCAUAAUGCCCUUAGAGUUCAUCCAUGUUUUUGAAAAUGACAGAAUUUCCUUUUUUUUUUAAAGGGUGAAUAAUCUCCUAUUAGAUAUCCAUUCAUCUGUUGAUGGAUACUUAAGUGGUUUCCAUAUACUGGCUAUUGUGAGUAAUGCUGCAGUGAACACAGGAGUGCAGGUAUCUCUUGCGGACACAGACUUUGCUUCCUUUGGAUUCAUACCCAGAAAAGUGGGAUUGCUGGAUCAUACGUAGUUAUGUUUUUGGCUUUUUGAGAAACUUCCAUACUGUUUUCCAUAUUGGCUGUACCAGAUUAAGUUCCCAUUAACAGUACAAAGGUUCCCUUUUCUCCUUACCAGCGUUUGCUAUCUCUUGUCAUUUUGAUUAGAUAUCCUAACAGGUGAGAAGCGAUAUCUCAUUGUGGUUUCGAUUUGCAUCUCUGAGGAUUACUGAUGCCAACCUCUUUUCAUCUACCUGUAGUCCAUCUCUGUGUCUUCUUUGGAAAAGUUUCUGUUCAGGUCCUUUGUCCAUUUUUUAAUUAAAUUGUUCACUUUUUGGCUAUUGAGUUGUAUGAGUUUCUCUUUCUAUUUCGGACAUUAACACCUUAUCAGAUAUGUGGUUUGCAAAUAUUUUCUCUUAUUCUAUAGGAUGUCUUUCAUUUUCUGUUUUCCUUUGCUGUGCAGAUGUAUUUUAGUUUGAGGUAAGUAAUCCCAUUUGUUUAUUUUUUGCUUUUGUUGUCUUUGCUUUUGAUGUCAGAUUCCAAAACAAACAUUGCCAAAACCAGUGGCAAGGAACUUACAAUGUCUCAUGUUUUUUUCUAUGAGUUUUAAAGUCUCAGGUUUUAUAUUCAAUUUUUUAAUCUAUUUGGAGUUGAUUGUUGUAUAUGGUAUAAAAUAGGGGUCUAAUAUCAUUCUUUGCAUAUGGUUUUCCAGUUUUCCCCACACCAUUUAUUGAAGAGACUUUUUCCCCAUUGUAAAUUCUUGACUUCUUGGUCAAAAAUUAAUUGACCAUAUAUGUAUGAAUUUAAAGAUUUAUUUCUUGUCAUGUCCCAGUGUUCCUGAAAUCUGCUUGUCUGUGUCAUCCUGAGAAUAAUACAGUCACAGUAAUAAUAACUAUUCUCAGGAGUUCCCAUCAUGGCUCAGCAGUAAUGAAGUAGUAUCCAUGAGGAUGUGUGUUCGAUCCCUGGCCUCACUCAGUGGGUUAAAGGAUCCAGUGUUGCCAUGAGCUGUGGUGCAGGUCGCAGAGGAGACUCAGCUCUGGCAUUGCUAUGGCUGUGGCAUAGGCUGGCUGCUACAGCUCAGAUUCAACCCCUAGCCUAGGAACUUCCAUAUGCCAUGGGUGCAGCCUUAAAAAUACAAAAAAAAAAAAAAAGAAAAGAAAAG
ensembl:lncRNA